rnacentral:rRNA from 1 species
UCUCCUGGAAACGGGUGGUAAUGCCGGAUGUUCCAGUUGAUCGCAUGGUCUUCUGGGAAAGCUUUCGCGGUAUGGGAUGGGGUCGCGUCCUAUCAGCUUGACGGCGGGGUAACGGCCCACCGUGGCUUCGACGGGUAGCCGGCCUGAGAGGGCGACCGGCCACAUUGGGACUGAGAUACGGCCCAGACUCCUACGGGAGGCAGCAGUGGGGAAUAUUGCACAAUGGGCGCAAGCCUGAUGCAGCGACGCCGCGUGAGGGAUGGAGGCCUUCGGGUUGUAAACCUCUUUUAUCGGGGAGCAAGCGUGAGUGAGUUUACCCGUUGAAUAAGCACCGGCUAACUACGUGCCAGCAGCCGCGGUAAUACGUAGGGUGCAAGCGUUAUCCGGAAUUAUUGGGCGUAAAGGGCUCGUAGGCGGUUCGUCGCGUCCGGUGUGAAAGUCCAUCGCUUAACGGUGGAUCCGCGCCGGGUACGGGCGGGCUUGAGUGCGGUAGGGGAGACUGGAAUUCCCGGUGUAACGGUGGAAUGUGUAGAUAUCGGGAAGAACACCAC